rnacentral:rRNA from 1 species
CAGCCGCCGCGGUAAUACGUAGGGGGCGAGCGUUGUCCGGAAUUAUUGGGCGUAAAGCGCGCGCAGGCGGUCCCUUAAGUCUGAUGUGAAAGCCCACGGCUCAACCGUGGAGGGUCAUUGGAAACUGGGAGACUUGAGUGCAGAAGAGGAGAGCGGAAUUCCACGUGUAGCGGUGAAAUGCGUAGAGAUGUGGAGGAACACCAGUGGCGAAGGCGGCUCUCUGGUCUGUAACUGACGCUGAGGCGCGAAAGCGUGGGGAGCAAACAGGAUUAGAUACCCUGGUAGUCCACGCCGUAAACGAUGAGUGCUAAGUGUUAGAGGGGUUAAACCCUUUAGUGCUGUAGCUAACGCGUUAAGCACUCCGCCUGGGGAGUACGGCCGCAAGGCUGAAACUUAAAGGAAUUGGCGGG